rnacentral:ncRNA from 2 species
AGCAGCACACUGUGGUUUGUAC